rfam:Gossypium arboreum cultivar AKA8401 contig_26777_1, whole genome shotgun sequence.
UAUUAAAAAUUUCAUGCAUUUGUACUAUUAAAAACUGGUGUAGUUAACAUAAUAACUAAAAAGUGACACGUAUAUCUUAUGCUGAUGUACAAUGACUAGUUUUUAACUGUAAAAUUGGAUUAAAUUUUUAACA